rnacentral:lncRNA from 1 species
GUCGCCAUCCGCUAGCCUAUGAGAAGACCCAAUAGUAAGACAAUUUUUUUCAUUCAACAGGUCAACAUGAGAGGAAAGAAGGAAUUAUUCAUGCUGAUCACAGGCUUCGUGUUGUUUAUAUUUGACCUGGUCACAGACAUCGUUGUAGCUGUACUGUAUAGGCUUAAAGGCGAAUAUUGGUGGUUUGGUUUGACGUUAUUUUUUAUUAUCGUUCCACUUUUCACCAUCAGCUUUAUGGCUUCCAUGCAAGCAGAUGAGCAAGGUUUUUGUCCAAACCUAAGCCUUUGUUUAUGUUUUGUAUGUUCGUCGAUAUUUGUGCGUUAUGUCCAAGAGUUCAAAUAUUGGAAGCAAACAUAUCGGGAUAAUCCCCCUUGUAGAAACAACUUUAAGGAAUGCAAUUGUACAAAUUGCAAACAGUACCGCGCAAAGAUAAAAGAGUCUAACAAGUCAGCAUACAAGCUCGCGUGGGUACGUUAUGUAGAGACACUUACAGAGUCUGCUCCACAAUGGUGUCUACAGGUUUACAUCAUGUUACGUCAGUGGGAUUUUCCAUGGUUAACCGUGCUCUCAACCGUGAUUUCCCUGCUUUCUUUAGCAUGGAGUAUUACCGCUCUUGAGAAAGCGAGAGUAAAUAAAAAUAACCACAAUUUCACACUGCUAGCCACGGUUGUAUUUUUCACUUCUCAAUUGUUUAGUUUGCUAUCCAGACUUUUUGCAAUUGCAGCAUUCGCAUACGUCUUUAAGGAACAUGUGUUCACAGCACUGGCGGUUCGUUGGCUGAUAGU